AUACGGAGGGGGCAAGCGUUGUUCGGAAUUAUUGGGCGUAAAGGGCGCGUAGGCGGCACUGUAAGUCGGUUGUGAAAUCCCUUGGCUCAACCAAGGAACUGCAACCGAAACUACAGAGCUAGAGUCCGAGAGAGGGUAGUGGAAUUCCCAGUGUAGCGGUGAAAUGCGUAGAUAUUGGGAGGAACACCAGUGGCGAAGGCGGCUACCUGGACCGGUACUGACGCUGAGGCGCGAAAGCUAGGGGAGCAAACAGAAUUAGAAACCCCGGUAGUCC
rnacentral:rRNA from 1 species